UACGAAGGGGGCUAGCGUUGUUCGGAAUUACUGGGCGUAAAGCGCGCGCAGGUGGUCUUUCAAGUCAGUGGUGAAAGCCCGGAGCUCAACUCCGGAAAUGCCAUUGAAACUGUAAGACUUGAGGAUGAGAGAGGUGAGUGGAAUUCCCAGUGUAGAGGUGAAAUUCGUAGAUAUUGGGAAGAACACCGGUGGCGAAGGCGGCUCACUGGCUCAUAUCUGACGCUCAGGCGCGAAAGCGUGGGGAUCAAACAGG
rnacentral:rRNA from 1 species